rnacentral:tRNA from 1 species
GCCUGGGUGGCUCAGUCGGUUGAGCGUCCGACUUCAGCUCAGGUCAUGAUCUCACAGUCUGUGAGUUCGAGCCCCGCCUCGGGCU